ensembl:lncRNA
CUUAAAAUUAUUUACCAGUGUGAAUAGAUGCAAGAAGGAUGAUGCAACAUUCUGGUGCAGUGUAUUAGGCAGACUGAGCCACCAUAAGUGCACUAAGAGACUGGGUGUGGUUUCAGAUGUGAAGAAUAAAGCAUAGAGGCUCUUGGAAAUUUUAAUAAAUGGGCAAAGGAAGGAUGGGAGCAAAUGAGUCCAUAAUGAAAGAGAGGUCAUGGGAAGUAUGGAGAGUCCCUGUAGGAGCCUGAAAGUGAAGACCUCUGCCCGAGGCAAACACCUUCCAGAGUAUGUAUCAGCCAGUAUAAACUGGCAGAAGUAUAAAAAACUCAAACCACAUCUGAAAAUGGGAAAACGGGAGACAGUUUGACAGCUUUGCUGCUCCUGAAGGUUUAUCUCUGUUUAUUCCAUCUCCCUUCAUGGUAGAGGUACUGGACACGACAGGAAAACUUGGUCAACCUAAGUAGUUGACCAGAGAUCCUACAUCAGCUGAAGGUCCAGGCAGAGAGUCUUGAGACUACCAGGAGUUUCAUGUAGAUCUUUUCCGGUGGGGCUUUCAGGUUUCCAUGGGCCAGGCAGGAGCCCUGCAACCUGGCGGACCACCAAGCCUCACAGAAGUCAGCUUGGGGGUAUCAUCCCUCUGUGCAUCUGGAGCUUUUGCUGCUGCAAACCACUUGGCCAUCCAGUCAUACAUGAUAUAUCUGGUACACUUCUUCUGUGUAAAGGGAAGCAGCCAGGCUGGAUCAAAGAAAAUGACAUUACCAAUAAGUUUCAAAUAAAAGUU